GCCCCAAGGAGAGAGAUGAGGGUGUCUGGGAAACAUCACAAGAUCAUGGAAGAUCAAGGAUUGUCCAUAAUCCUGUCCAUCCUGACCAUGCAGUCACGUGAUUAACCUGACUGGAUGAGUAAAACUUUUCCCUAUUGAGUAAGAAACGUGCUCUGCCCUCAAUUUCCUGCAUAUACACACUGCAAGAAGCUUCUUUCGGUACUAGUGUCUCAAAUGGUUUACUGGACAUGGCAAGCUGGAAAAUCUUUAUAAAAUCAACUUGAAAGCCGAUUCCAAACCAGUAUGUUUCGUUAUACCAAGGAAAAUCCCUCCCACCCAAUGACAGAAAAAGAAGAGAAACAAUUAGAGGACAUGGUGAACAGAGUUGUUAUCAUCCUGGUGUGUAAAUCAACAGAAUGGUGUUCAUGGAAGGUCACAGUUCCCAAGCCUAAUGACUGCAGAUGAAUCUGCAUGGGCGUCACGCAGCUCAAUAAAACAGCUGUUUUAUUAGACUCAAAA